UUCACCAUCUCCCGGAGCUUGCUCAAACUCAUGUCCAUUGAGUCUGUGAUAUAUACCUCAGUAAAGCUGAAUUAAAAUGUAAGACAGUGCAGGGACUUGACUGGUGGCCCAGCGGUAAAGAAUCCACCCACCAAUGCAGGGGACGGGGGUUCAAUCCCUGGUCCGGGAACCCAUACGUCGCAACAAAGGCUCAACGUAGCCAAAAAUGAUAAAUUUUAAAAAUAAGACAGUGAAAAGCACAAGUCACUUUCAUUUUCUCCCUUGGGCUUUUUUAUAUUUUCCGAGGUGUCCUUAAUUGAAAGCAAAAACAGAAAUGGCCAGCAGUUGGAAGAAGAUUGAUUUCUGCAAGGUGGGAGACCUCUUCCUGACAUUCUUCGGCCUUUGCCGGUCUCCCAAGACACAGCUGAGGGUAAGGGGACUCCUCCCUCCUGUGUGUGGCCUUGCGGAAGUCACCCCACGUCUCCAAGCCUCUGUUCCCUCGCCAGUGGACAGACCCAACGCCUGCCGUGCCUUUGUCACCAAACCGUGGGAGCAGACAUGUCAGGGCUCUGAGAGCUGAUGGCCCAGCACACACGACGGGUCAGUGCUGAGACCAAACCUCCUUCGCUGUAAUCUCUCUGCACAUCCCAUCUUUAAAAUUACCAAAUAUUUCAAACAUACAGAAAAUGGAGGAAAAAAGUUUUAGACCUGAGAAGAAGGAUCAAUGCAAAGAACUACAGACAAGCCACCCAACUUUGCCAAGUCUUGACACCUUGCCAUAUAUGCUUCAGAUUUCUUUUUCCCUGAAAAAUAGAACAGUACAGAUUAAACCCUCUGUGUUCCUCUUUCUGAUCUCAUUCCCAUCCCUCCCUACCCAGGGGUAACUGCUGUUCUAAAUUUAGUAUCUGAUUUCCUAUGCAUGUUUUAACAUUUACUAUCUGACUGUAUCCCUAAAAAUACAUAUGUAGCAUAGUUUUAAAUUUUAAAAAAAACCUUUUUAAUAUUGUACUAUUUUACCACUUUUCUAGACGGUACCUAUGUUGAAGCUAUAGCCUGAGUUUCUUUUCCCUCCCAGUAUAUUAUUCCAUCGCACAAAGAGAUAACAGUCUAUCUAUCUGUCGAUGGACAAUUCAUCAACUCCUCAGUUUUUACAACUACAUGCUGAGUAAGGGGAGGGAAGCCACUAAACGGUAGAUAAGAGCAUCUUCAACUUUAUUAGAAUUUUCCAAACUUCUUCUCCAGAGAAGCUGUACCCGUUCGCAUCUCCACCAAGAUGGUACAGGGUUCCCAGGGUGCCGCAUCCUCACUCCCUUCAUCCCUUUCCCCGUGCUGAGGGACUGCUGGCUGCUUGCCAGUUUCGUGGACGCAAAAUGGUGUCUCCCAGCUCUUAGCAUCUGCAUGUCUCCCAUGGCCAGUGAAGCGCAACAUCUGUUCAUAUUUUUGGCCACCUCGGUUUCCUCUUCUGUGAACUGCCUGUGUUAACUCGUUUUUUAAAAGUGAUUAUUUGUGUUUCUUUCGUUUGUCCAUACUUUCAACCUACUUCUGCCAGAUCCUCCCAACGCAGACUCAGUUCACGGCCCUUCUCUGUUCUAAACUCCCUGCGGCUCUCUCUAGAACGUGCACAACUCUAGAAUAUGCCACAGGGCCUUGCUCAGUGGCCCUGAUUCGCCUGAGGGCUAAAAACCAAACUCAGCCCAGGACACUCAGCUCCUCCUCCUCCAGGCUUGACCCGCGCACCCUGAACUCCAACCCAAAGGACACCCAACUCGCUUAGCCCCAGGCCUCCAGCACGCACCACGCCCCCAGCCUGGAAUGCCUCCCUCCUAUCCCCACAUUCCAUCUGAAUGCCACCUUUUCUGCAACCCUUCUCCCUUCUCAACUCAAAGCUGUGCCUCUGACUCACAGCUGAAACUAUACCUUUCUAGUGGCAUUUAUUAUUUCUCCUUUUGUCGUGUUUAAGCAGCUCUGCAUUUUGCCCACUACUUUUUCAUUUACAAAAGCACAGCUCCUUAUUGUGCUGUUUCGGCUUCACCUCUGCAGCGGUCCUGUGGGACAGGGUAGUCGUUUACCCUCUUUGAACAGACAGGGAAGGUGGUUUACCAGGGCACUAGUUCACCCAGCAUCUCCCUUCGGCUCAGAGAUGGAGCUGGACUUGAAGCCAGGACUCCUCCGAUUCCACGUCCAGCUCUACGCACCAUGCCCCUCCUGUUUAUACCCGUGCUGUUGCUGCCUGGGCCAACCCCUGGUUCCCCCUUGAGACCGUGAGUCCCGCUGCCCCCAGUUCUAGUCUCACUGCUGCGGGAGGGUGGGGGGCACUCGGUGACUACAUGAUUUCUUGACAAAGUUACAAUUAUCACUUAUUGCACACCCACUGGCUGCUGAGGGCUUUGCAUACAUUAACCCCAACCUUCCCAACAACUCUAGAGGAGGAGAUUGAAGUUUGAGUUGAAAUGCUUUGCUCAGGGUCCCACGCCCCGGGGAGCUGGCCUAUGAGGCGAGCGCUGCCGACUGCAAUCUCUGCCUUACGCAUAACAAGGGUAGACCCAGCCAGCCAGAGAGACAGUACCCCAAGGCCCACUCCCCAGAGAGUGAGGCCGGACGCGGACAUUUCUGCCCAUCCUCCCCAGGGCCAGGGCCGAUCAUGACUGGGCCCCCAGCCUCAAUCCGCUAUUCCUCUGACUCUGUAUGCUUUCACCGGGCGCCACUUAUUUAAAUGUUGUGUUUGUGUGUGCGUGUGUCGGGGGUGUUUCCAACUGUAUCUCUGUGUUGUGUUUCUCCGCUUGGGUUUGUGCGCGAUCUGUCGUUGGUGUGCUCUUCCUCUGGGUGUGUUACUGUGUUGUGGCUCUGUGCCUGUCUGCUUUAUACGCCUGUUUUGCUGUGUGUCUGCGCUGUGUACACUCUCGCGUAUCUGUGUCUGGACUCUAAUGUGUGCUGUGUCGUGUAGAUCCUGAGUACUCAGCUUGCGUUUGUGCCGUGCGCCGUGUCUCUACGCAGGCCGUCUCCGCUGCAAGCGCAGGACGUGUGUGUGUUUCUGUUGUGCUAAUCCCGUUUGGGUUGCUCCAGGUC
rnacentral:lncRNA from 1 species